CCGCCCCAGAGCCCCAAGCAGGAGGAGAAAACCCAGACUCCAUAAAAACAGAAGGCCAGUUGGGAUGGCAGUCAGACCAAUUGGCCUGACUCCGUUGGUGUUUAAGUGGAGCUCUGGUAUUCUAGUGCAUUCUUUUACCUCUGCUUCUGUUGCGUUGCAAGCUGUGCUAGAGAAGACGUAGGAAAUUCAUUUUACCCAAUCAGCAAUUGUAACAAUGGACUACAAACCUGCAGAGCAAGCCAGUUUGCUGGAAAACAGGAAUUCCUGCAGCGCAGCACUUGUCACAGACUAUCCAAAGAGGGCAAAGAUUCAGGAAGGUGACUAAAUUGAACAGUGGUUGAAUGAGGUCAGGAACAGUCUCCCGGAGGAGAACCAUGCCCUAAAAUACUACUUUGAAAGUAUAAGCCAAUUUAAUGUGCAGAUUAAACCUUCUCAUUUGACCAAACUUGUGUGCAAUCCUGGAUCUUUGCAGAACACAACCGGACACUUCAAAACUCUGUGUAUUAUAUUUGUUUAAAAAAAAAUAAAUCACAACUUGUCUUGUUACAGCUGUUACUUUUGCCAUUUCAUUGAGACUAUCUGCAACAUAAAUGUGUAUUUGACUCAAAAUAGUAUCAUACACUUGGUAUAAUAACUCAGGUUGUCAACAGAAUUAUUCUGUGAGGCUCAGUAUCGCCUCCCUGUUGUUCUCUGAAAAAUGCAUUAACCAUUGCUGUCAUUGCCAGAUAGCCCAGUUGUGCGCUACAAAAUUCUUCAUCAGCUUUAAUAGUUGACCUAAGUUAUAAUUCUGUUUUUAUCCUUGUAGAAUACUUAAGAUCCUGAACAUCAGACUAGGUCUUUGUAGUCUGGUGUUCAUGAAAAUCAUGUUCACUGGUUCACUGUUUAAUCAUUCUACAUCUCCGUGUUUUGUUUUCUUUUCCUUUUUCCUUGCAUACUAGGGGGUAUGGUCAAGGUAAUACUAUGGUCCAGUAAGACGCAUGAUGGUAAGGGUAUGCCUUUAGUUGUUUCAGGAAAAAACUGCCAUUAUCUCCUCUUUACCUUUCUCGUUAGUUUCAAAAUGCAUAACAUGAAGUGUUUGUAAAUUGAUAUCAAACUGUUUGUGACUUCACCUAAAUAAAUUUUUAUAUAUAAAUGCUGUUCUUAAUCUUA